CCUACGGGAGGCAGCAGUGAGGAAUAUUGGACAAUGGGCGCAAGCCUGAUCCAGCCAUGCCGCGUGCAGGAAGACGCAUCUAUGGUGUGUAAACUGCUUUUGUACGGGAAGAAACACUCCCUCGUGAGGGAGCUUGACGGUACCGUAAGAAUAAGGAUCGGCUAACUCCGUGCCAGCAGCCGCGGUAAUACGGAGGAUCCAAGCGUUAUCCGGAAUCAUUGGGUUUAAAGGGUCCGUAGGCGGUUUAAAUAAGUCAGUGGUGAAAGCCCAUCGCUCAACGAUGGAACGGCCAUUGAUACUGUUAGACUUGAAUUACUAGGAAGUAACUAGAAUAUGUAGUGUAGCGGUGAAAUGCUUAGAUAUUACAUGGAAUACCAAUUGCGAAGGCAGGUUACUACUAGUGGAUUGACGCUGAUGGACGAAAGCGUGGGGAGCGAACAGGAUUAGAUACCCUGGUAGUCCACGCCGUAAACGAUGGAUACUAGCUGUUGGGCGCAAGUUCAGUGGCUAAGCGAAAGUGAUAAGUAUCCCCACCUGGGGAGUACGUUCGCAAGAAUGAAACUCAAAGGAAUUGACGGCGNGAGAGAGACGACGACGACGACGAGGGAGGAGG
rnacentral:rRNA from 1 species